GACGUAGGGUGCAAGCGUUAAUCGGAAUUACUGGGCGUAAAGCGUGCGCAGGCGGUGCUGUAAGACAGGCGUGAAAUCCCCGGGCUUAACCUGGGAAUGGCGCUUGUGACUGCAGUGCUGGAGUGCGGCAGAGGGGGAUGGAAUUCCGCGUGUAGCAGUGAAAUGCGUAGAUAUGCGGAUGAACACCGAUGGCGAAGGCAAUCCCCUGGGCGUGCACCGACGCUCAUGCAUGAAAGCGUGGGGAGCAGACAGG
rnacentral:rRNA from 1 species